AUCUGUUUCCUACUACCCUGAACUCGCCCGACCUCGCCUGAUCUCGGAAGCUGAGCGGGGGCACGCCCGGUUGGUACUUGGAUGGGGGCCUCCUGGGAAUACCGGGUGCUGUAGCGGAGA
rnacentral:rRNA from 1 species